rnacentral:rRNA from 1 species
UCGUGGAGUGAUCUGUCUGCUUAAUUGCGUUUCAAUAUGGACUUUACAAUAUUGCUAUUGUGGAAGCUUUUAAGCUGGACACUCUUAGCAAUAAGAUUGCUGUCCGCUUUAAGUUUCUGCAGUAGUAUGAUAGAGUCCCGAAGGCAACGAACGUGACCGCAACCUCUUGUUGCCUCCCAUUCUCAACAGAAAGUUUGAGAUGCAUAUUCACGUAUGCAUUUUUAUUUCUGAGCGGAGGGAAACUAGAGGGACCGCUGCGAAAUCUUUAAACCAGAGGAAGGUUGCGGCAAUAACA